UGUCCAGUAGCACCUUAGAGACCAACUAAGUUUGUUCUGGGUAUAAGCCUUUGUGUGCAUGCACACUUCUUCAGAUACUUUAGUUGGUCUCUAAGGUGCUACUGGACA